AGGGAAUCUUCCGCAAUGGACGAAAGUCUGACGGAGCAACGCCGCGUGAGUGAUGAAGGUUUUCGGAUCGUAAAGCUCUGUUGCCAGGGAAGAACGUCCGUUAGAGUAACUGCUAACGGAGUGACGGUACCUGAGAAGAAAGCCCCGGCUAACUACGUGCCAGCAGCCGCGGUAAUACGUAGGGGGCGAGCGUUGUCCGGAAUUAUUGGGCGUAAAGCGCGCGCAGGCGGCUGUUUAAUGCUGGUGUUUAAGCCUGGGGCGCAACCCCGGGUCGCACUGGAAACUGGGCAGCUUGAGUGCAGAAGAGGAGAGUGGAAUUCCACGUGUAGCGGUGAAAUGCGUAGAGAUGUGGAGGAACACCAGUGGCGAAGGCGACUCUCUGGGCUGUAACUGACGCUGAGGCGCGAAAGCGUGGGGAGCAAAC
rnacentral:rRNA from 1 species